AGAGGGUGCUAGCGUUGUUCGGAAUUAUUGGGCGUAAAGCGCGUGUAGGCGGCCAUGCAAGUUGGGUGUGAAAGCCCUCGGCUUAACCGAGGAAGUGCGCUCAAAACUACAAGGCUUGAGUACCGGAGAGGGUGGCGGAAUUCCCGGUGUAGAGGUGAAAUUCGUAGAUAUCGGGAGGAACACCAGUGGCGAAGGCGGCCACCUGGACAGAUACUGACGCUGAGACGCGAAAGCGUGGGGAGCAAACAGGAUUAGAUACCCUGGUAGUCCACGCUGUAAACGAUGAGCGCUAGGUGUUGCGGGUGUUGACCCCUGCAGUGCCGAAGCUAACGCAUUAAGCGCUCCGCCUGGGAAGUACGGCCGCAAGGCUA
rnacentral:rRNA from 1 species